rnacentral:lncRNA from 1 species
AUGAAGGCAGGAGUCAGAACAAAGCAAAACAAAAUUGAAAGCACAACGAAGCAAAACCCACAGCAUGAAAUAAGCAAUUUGAGCUGACGAAAAAGGUAAAAGGCACAAGAAAACCUUGAAGAUCGAAGAAUAUAAAGCCCACAUUAAGAAAGAAGAGAACGAAAAUUAUUGAAGCAGAAAAGAAAGAUCGAAGAAAGUAAGAGCAAAUAAAAAGUUGUAAUCAGGUUAGAACACUCACCCUAUCUCUAUAUCGGUUCUUGCACUUUCCUCUAAAUUUUUGUAAAGCCCUAAUUGUCAAUUUGUUUCAGAUUUUUCUGUUCUAGACUUGAUUUAAAUUUAGAUAGGCUUCUAUGCAUGAAUAAUUUGUUUAUUUACUUUUUCACGGGCAUGCACACAUGAAUUGAUGAUUUGCAAAUAUAACUAAGAAAAUUCCACUGGGUGUUUAUAAAAUAUGAUUUAGAAGAUGUGUUGUUUGUUUACUAGUUUUGAUUUUAGGAAUUGAUGAUUUAAAGUUUUUAAAAAUUAUGUAUUGGUCCUUUUUUGUUAUAUAGUAGCACAUGGUUGGACAUGUUGCAUAAUUUAAUAUGUUUGAGCAUGAAAGUUCCUUAAUUUUUUCAAAAUUUUAUCCUUAUGGCAACAAAUUUUAAUUAUUUCAUGACAAGUUGACCUUAAUUAUUAAAAUUAUUUAUCAUUAGGAUGUGCUUUUGUGUGUGUCUUUAUGUGCCGGCUUUUAGUAAAUAAAUAAUUUUUUAAAUGCGGUAAUUGUGUUCAUUUGUUGUUUUGCAAGAUGUUAUUAAAGUAAUUGUAUCAUAUUUGUAUUUUGUUAUUUUUUGUGAUUUACUAAAUUAGGUUUAGUAGUAAUAAAAGUAUUAAUACUAUUACAAAUUGAAUGUGGUAGGCAGGUUUUUUUAUUUGUCUGAUUCGAUUACUACUGUGGUUAAAAGUUUUGUUAAGUGGGACAAGAAGGUGUUUGAUUGGUUCAGGUACGAAUACAUUGUCAUUUCAACUGUAAUCGUGUGGCUUUGUGACAUGUUACC